CCGGAGGCAAAGGAGAGCUGGAGGAAUCGGACGUGGAACAGGCGCGAUAAGGGAUUGAAAGGAGAAAAUUGGAAAUCGCGUGAAUCAAUGUCAGCAGUGGCAGACUUGAACCUCAAACCAAACUGCGAAAGAGUAAUGCGAUUGAUGAGGAUCUGACCAUUAUCAGCAAACGAAUGUGGUAGCAUUCAAAUAUGAAAGGAUGAAGAGGGG